AAUCACAGAAUUUUGAAUUCCUGUUUCCAUCAUUUCAUAAUCUAAUAUGAUGGAUGUUGCUCAGCAUACACAGUUGAUAUUCAUUUGUGGAUUGUGCAGGUUUCCCUUGAUAAAGGAACUGUAUCAUGGUUAGAUACUCAAUUUUGUCCAGCAUGAUACUUCUACCAUCACACUUUUAACUGCAGUUUAACAAGAUUUAUCAAACAAAAAAGGCAUGCAUAUUAGACAUGCCAUUUUCAUUUGAAAGGCAUGCAUGUAAGACAGAACUUAUCAUUGUUUAUAAUUGCAGAUCUACAGCAAAUAUACAACAUGGUGAGGUAAGAACUUUUAAGCCUCCCCAUAUAAUUUGCUAUAUGCCAAGCAUUAGAUUCUAUCUUGAAUUCUCCAGUGAAAAGACCAAAGCAAAUUUUGUUUUAAAAUCAAUAGUACA
rnacentral:lncRNA from 1 species